AAAAAGGCAUGAACAGUGUUUUUAGCCCAAAGUUCACCACAGGGCCAUAGUCACAGGGCAGGAGGCUGGCAAACAGGCCCCUCCAAAAACCAGUGGCGUGGUCAUUUUCGCCACACUCCACCUAAUGCUGAUUGGCACGAUUUGGUUCAUGCCAUUUUGGCUGAUUGGUUGUUGCUUGGUUUAGGCGCAAAAUUUAAAUUCACCGGACUAAACCAAGCAACACCAUGGAACUAAUUUUGGGGAUGUACAGAGCCUUGAGACCCAGACCUUCGAUGCUGAUAUCUCCGGCUCUGUACAUCCGAUCGCCCCGCUUUUUGCAGGGGUCCUAAGGGGGACCCGGGGCCAAUGGU